rnacentral:pre_miRNA from 1 species
ACCUGAACAGGAGCAUUUUCUCUUAUGUGUUUUUUGGUAAGUGCUACCUUGUUUGGGCGA